rnacentral:rRNA from 1 species
UACGGAGGAUCCGAGCGUUAUCCGGAUUUAUUGGGUUUAAAGGGUGCGCAGGCGGGAGAUUAAGUCGGCGGUGAAAUUUUGCAGCUCAACUGUAAAAGUGCCUUCGAAACUGGUUUCCUUGAGUGUAGAUGAAGUAGGCGGAAUUUGUGGUGUAGCGGUGAAAUGCAUAGAUAUCACGAGGAACUCCGAUUGCGCAGGCAGCUUACUAAACUACUACUGACGCUCAGGCACGAAGGCAUGGGGAUCAAACAGGAUUAGAUACCCGCGUA